rnacentral:rRNA from 1 species
CGAGAAGUAUCUUCGGAUAUGAGUAGAGCGGCGGACGGGUGAGUAACGCGUAGGAAUCUACCUAGUAGAAGGGGAUAGCCCGGGGAAACUCGGAUUAAUACCGUAUACCUCCUUCGGGAGAAAGAAGGCCUCUCUUUGAAGCUUUCGCUAUUAGAUGAGCCUGCGUAAGAUUAGCUUGUUGGUGAGGUAAAGGCUCACCAAGGCUACGAUCUUUAGCUGGUCUGAGAGGACGAUCAGCCACAUUGGGACUGAGACACGGCCCAGACUCCUACGGGAGGCAGCAGUGGGGAAUAUUGGACAAUGGGCGCAAGCCUGAUCCAGCCAUACCGCGUGUGUGAAGAAGGCCUUCGGGUUGUAAAGCACUUUAAGCAGGGAGAAAAAGUUAUAGGUUAAUACCCUAUGACCUUGAUGUUACCUGCAGAAUAAGCACCGGCUAAUUCCGUGCCAGCAGCCGCGGUAAUACGGAAGGCGCAAGCGUUAAUCGGAAUUACUGGGCGUAAAGCGCGCGUAGGUGGUUUGUUAAGUUGGAUGUGAAAGCCCUGGGCUCAACCUAGGAACUGCAUCCAAAACUAACUCACUAGAGUACGAUAGAGGGAGGUAGAAUUCAUAGUGUAGCGGUGGAAUGCGUAGAUAUUAUGAAGAAUACCAGUGGCGAAGGCGGCCUCCUGGAUCUGUACUGACACUGAGGUGCGAAAGCGUGGGUAGCGAACAGGAUUAGAUACCCUGGUAGUCCACGCCGUAAACGAUGACAACUAGCUGUUGGGAGACUAUGUCUUUCAGUGGCGCAGCUAACGCUUUAAGUUGUCCGCCUGGGGAGUACGGCCGCAAGGCUAAAACUCAAAUGAAUUGACGGGGACCCGCACAAGCGGUGGAGCAUGUGGUUUAAUUCGAUGCAACGCGAAAAACCUUACCUACUCUUGACAUACUUGGAAGCUCUUGUAAUGAGAGUGUGCCUUUUGGAGCCAAGAUACAGGUGCUGCAUGGCUGUCGUC